rnacentral:rRNA from 1 species
UACGGAGGGGGCUAGCGUUGUUCGGAAUUACUGGGCGUAAAGCGCACGUAGGCGGAUCAGUCAGUCAGGGGUGAAAUCCCGGGGCUCAACCCCGGAACUGCCCUUGAUACUGCUGGUCUUGAGGUCGAGAGAGGUGAGUGGAAUUCCGAGUGUAGAGGUGAAAUUCGUAGAUAUUCGGAGGAACACCAGUGGCGAAGGCGGCUCACUGGCUCGAUACUGACGCUGAGGUGCGAAAGCGUGGGGAGCAAACAGG